GACGAACGCCGGCGGCGUGCUUAACACAUGCAAGUCGAACGGUAAGGAAAUUCGGGGUACACGAGUGGCGAACGGGUGAGUAACACGUGGGCGAUCUGCCCUGCACUUCGGGAUAAGCCUGGGAAACUGGGUCUAAUACCGGAUAGGACCACUGCCUGCAUGGGUGGUGGUGGAAAGCUUUUGCGGUGUGGGAUGGGCCCGCGGCCUAUCAGCUUGUUGGUGAGGUAAUGGCUCACCAAGGCGACGACGGGUAGCCGGCCUGAGAGGGCGACCGGCCACACUGGGACUGAGACACGGCCCAGACUCCUACGGGAGGCAGCAGUGGGGAAUAUUGCACAAUGGGCGCAAGCCUGAUGCAGCGACGCCGCGUGAGGGAUGACGGCCUUCGGGUUGUAAACCUCUUUCAGCACCGACGAAGCGCAAGUGACGGUAGGUGCAGAAGAAGGACCGGCCAACUACGUGCCAGCCGCCGCGGUAA
rnacentral:rRNA from 1 species